UCAAAACUAACUCCUUGAGCUGACCAGGAAAGAUGCCCUUGAGCAGCAUUGCAGUUUUUACAGCACAGACAACCCAGAAACGUACAUACUGCCUAAAGUGAUGGUCUGCCCAGCAUCUCUCUCUCCAGCCAGCUCUCAGAGCUGCCCAGAGCUUCAACACCUUGAACCCUAUGUGCUUAGGAGUGACAGUAGUCAGGAUAGCCCAGCAGGCAGCUGGGUAUACUUUAUUCAGGGCACUUUCUGUACAUGUGGGGUUAGUCUUUAUAUGUAGGAGAUUAUUAAAUGCCCUUUUGCUGCUUCAUAAUAAUUGCAGAUACCUCAUCUUUGUUUCCUACUACUCUUCUUUGUAGAGGGGCCUGAUGGCCUCUGGCCCUCCUCUAUCAUAAUUCCAUGAUUCCUUCCCCUGCUUCUGUCUUUCCUUUCUGCGGCAGCUUCUCUCAACCCUCCCUCUUCAUUCUACACAUUGUAGUGGGGGCAAAUUUUUACUUGAGAGAUACGUACAUAGUAUGCAGUUUAUCCUUGUACAGUGUACAUUUGAUUGUCGUCUAUUUACAGAGCUGUGGAACCAUUAUCAUCAUCAGUUUUAGAACAUAUUUAUCACCAGAAAAAUCCUGUUCCCACUAGCAGUCCUCCUUCACCUCUCCUCAGACCUGGCAACUACUAAUCUUUCUGUCCUUGUGGAUUUGCCUAUAACGGACCUUUCAUAAAUGUUAUAUGCGAUGUGCAAUGUGUCUGUUUACUUAGUUUUAAGGUUCAUCUGUGCCAUGGUAUAUAUCAUCAUUUCAAGUAGUGAGUACCUCUCUCUCUCUCUCUCUCUUUCUCUCUCUCUCUGUGUGUGUGUGUGUGUGUGUGUGUGUGUGUGCGCGUGUGCGCUUAGACAUUUUCAUUGUGUGGCCCUGGCUGCCCUUAGAACAGGCUGGUCUUGAGUUCACAGAGGAAGCUCUGCUUCCCAGGUGCUGGGAUUAAAGGUGUGUGGCACUGUGCCUGCCAGUGGGUUUGUUUUGUUUUGUCUUUUCUCUUCAGUUUUUUAAAUUGUCUAAAUAUUUCAUUACAGUGCAUAUAAUGGGCGUUCUGUGAUUUCUAGUCAGGACGAUCAUGAAUAGGCUUCUGUAUAUAUGUGUGUGCAACACCCCUUCAUGUUCUCCUUCAUGGACAUGUGGGGGUUUUGGUGGUGGUGGAGGUGGGUUUUUGUUUGUUUGUUUGUUUUUGUUUUUGAGACAGGGUUUCCCUGUGUAACAAGCUCUGUCUGUCCUGGACUCAAUUUGUAGACCAGGCUGGCCUCGAACUCACAGAGACCCUCCUGCCUCUGCUAGCCAAGUGCUGGGAUUAAAGGGGUGCACCACCACACCCAGCGUGUUUUCAUUCUUUUGUAUAGGAAUAGAAUGGAUGGAUCGUAAGGCAGCUCUUACCUUUAGUCUUUGGAGGAAUUGCCAAGCUGUGUUCCCAUGGAGGAUAUCAGGAUUCCAGUUUAUCAAGUCUUCACCAAUAUUGUUUACUAAUUUGAAGUGUGUUUCAUUGUGUAUGUGCUGUGUUUUAUUUUGUGGCAGUGCAGGGGACCAGACCCAGGACUUGCAGAUGUAGACAAGUAUUGUACCACUGGGCUCCAUCCACAGUCCCUUAGCUGGUUCUGAGUUGCAGUUUCCUAAUAACUAGUGAUGUUGGCCAUUAUGUCUUCCUCUUCCUCCUGUGUCUGUGUCUGUGGUUUUAAGAUAGGGUUUCAUGUGUUGGACAAUAUUUUUGUUUUGUCUUUUUUUUUUUUCAAAGAUAGAAUUUCUCAGGCUGGGGAAAUAGGCUUACAACCAAAAAUAUAAGAGUUCGGUUCCUAGCACCCAUAGCUGUCUCUCCAGCC
rnacentral:lncRNA from 1 species